GACAGAGGUCCCAAGCGUUAGGCGGAAUCACUGGGCUUAAAGCGUGUGUAGGCGGAGUGCUAAGUACCUUGUAAAAUCCCACGGCUCACCCGUGGAACUGCUUGGUAUACUGGUUCUCUUGAGCCACCUAGGGGCGAGCGGAACAAGUGGUGGAGCGGUGAAAUGCGUAGAUAUCACUUGGAACGCCAAUGGUGAAAACAGCUCGCUGGGGGUGUGCUGACGCUGAGACACGAAAGCCAGGGGAGCGAACGGG
rnacentral:rRNA from 1 species